rnacentral:rRNA from 1 species
UACGAAGGGGGCUAGCGUUGCUCGGAAUCACUGGGCGUAAAGGGCGCGUAGGCGGCCGAUCAAGUCAGAGGUGAAAGCCCAAGGCUCAACCUUGGAAUUGCCUUUGAUACUGAAGGUCUUGAGUUCGGGAGAGGUGAGUGGAACUGCGAGUGUAGAGGUGAAAUUCGUAGAUAUUCGCAAGAACACCAGUGGCGAAGGCGGCUCACUGGCCCGAUACUGACGCUGAUGCACGAAAGCGUGGGGAGCAAACAGG